UACGAAGGGGGCUAGCGUUGUUCGGAAUCACUGGGCGUAAAGCGCACGUAGGCGGAUUUUUAAGUCAGGGGUGAAAUCCCGAGGCUCAACCUCGGAACUGCCUUUGAUACUGGAGAUCUUGAGUCCGGAAGAGGUAAGUGGAACUGCGAGUGUAGAGGUGAAAUUCGUAGAUAUUCGCAAGAACACCAGUGGCGAAGGCGGCUCACUGGCCCGGUACUGACGCUGAGGUGCGAAAGCGUGGGGAGCAAACAGG
rnacentral:rRNA from 1 species